rnacentral:ncRNA from 1 species
UAUGACGGUUUCCGCGAAGGCGGAAUUAAAAGGGAAUCCGGUGUGAAUCCGGGACAGUCCCGCUGCUGUGAAUUCCUGUAUUCGGUUCAACAACAAGUCACUGCCGCAAGGUGGGAAGACGUUGAAACGGGGAAUAAGUCAGAAGACCUGCCGCAUACA